rnacentral:rRNA from 1 species
CCUACGGGAGGCAGCAGUGAGGAAUAUUGGUCAAUGGGCGCGAGCCUGAACCAGCCAAGUAGCGUGAAGGAUGACUGCCCUAUGGGUUGUAAACUUCUUUUAUAAGGGAGUAAACUGAGACACGUGUGUCUUUUUGUAUGUACCUUAUGAAUAAGGAUCGGCUAACUCCGUUCCAGCAGCCGCGGUAAUACGGAGGAUUCGAGCGUUAUCCGGAUUUAUUGGGUUUAAAGGGAGCGUAGGCGGGUUGUUAAGUCAGAUGUGAAAGUUUGAGGCUCAACCGUAGAAUUGCAUUUGAUACUGGCAGGCUUGAGUACAGUUGAGGUAGGCGGAAUUCGUGGUGUAGCGGUGAAAUGCUUAGAUAUCACGAAGAACUCCGAUGGCGAAGGCAGCUGACUGGACUGCAACUGACAUUGAGGCUCGAAAGUGUGGGUAUCAAACAGGAUUAGAUACCCGAGUAGUC